UCCCCCACGAAGAACACAACAAAACCAGUUGGAAAUACCCGGGAAUACCCGGGAGUUUUAGCUAACUAGCUAUCUUAUUAUUUAAAAAUUUCCCUCUAGUAGAUCAAUAACUAAUGAGGUAAACAACUCAGUACUUUGACCAACCUAUAUCGACUGGUUGACCUCUGACCAAUUUUGUAUCUCGUGCGCUUUGCCCAUAAACGUUUUCUGGUAUAUUUGCUGUAGCUAAUUUUUGAGAUGCCUUCAUUUUUACCUACGGUGGCCGAACAACUCUUCAAAGACAUACAGAAGACAUACCAAGAGAAAACUAAAAUUCCUGAUGACCUGCUUAUUGCGCUGAGGUUUGUGUUUGGCUCCUGUGCCCUCCAGGCCUUGGACCUGGUGGACCAGCGCUCUGUCACCUGUGUCUCAUCCCCCAGUGGACGGAGAGCAUAUCAGGUGAUUGGAGGGUCAGGGCUGCUGUACACCUGCUACACCUCCUGUCACUACUGCUCCUGCCCAGCCUUCGCCUACACUGUGCUCAGGAGGAACGAGAGUCUACUGUGCAAGCACAUCCUGGCCGCCUACCUCAGUCAGGCCAUGGGGCUGUCCCAGCAGGAGGCCCUGUCUGACCAGCAGAUGUCCAGCAUCCUUUCUGGGAGAGCAGCAAGAACUGACACGUAGAGCACCAGACCCCCAGGUCACUCAUCCAGACCUACAUGUAGAAGACCAGACCGCAGCUACAGACCCAGAGCACAGAGACGUAGAGCACCAGACCCCCAGGUCACUCAUCCAGACCUACAUGUAGAAGACCAGACCGCAGCUACAGACCCAGAGCACAGAGACGUAGAGCACAACCCAACAGGUCACUGAUCCAGACUCAAAGCCACACAGCACCAUCUGAGACCAAGCUACUGCAGCACAUCCUGAGGAGAGAUGUUUAAAAGGCAAAGCUGCUGUAUAGUCUCCUCCAGUCUGUCUGCAUGUGUGAAGAUGAUGGCUUUAUGGCUUUUAGGUCAUUGUGCUGUUCUUCUAGAACUCUGGUGUGGUUCUCCGCUUUCUGAAAAUCAAAAGACAACCGAUGUUGCUGUUUUUUGUGAGUGUUCAUGUUCUUAAUCUGUUCAUUGACUGUAUUUUAAGACUCUCCUUUUAUAUGAAAAUGGUUGUUAUAUGUAGGUUGUGUAAACUCUUGUAAGAAUAUGAGUCUGACUUGUAACAAUAUGAACAUUUUAUUUGUAUUUUUUAUUUAACCAGUCAAGUCAUACAUAGCUUUUAUUGACAAAAUAAUUCACCAUACAGAUUUUCUCAUGUUAAAUAGCAGUAUUGGUUUAGUUGUCAGUUGAGUGAAAUAAUAAUUGAACAUCAUUGACGUUCAGACAUUCUACUGCACUGUUGGAGCUACUAACAUAAGCUUUUCGCUGCACCUACUAUAACACCAGCAAAACUGUGUACACAACCAAUACACUUUGAUUUGAACCACAGUUAACUGUUUAGGCUACUGGUUAGCGACAUCAAUACUGUAACACAUUUGCGAACGCACAGGUUGGAAAACUACAUCAGCUUGUUCUUGUAUGGUUUUCUUCUUAAAUUGUAGGAAGGCUUCAUUCACAAGUCAGGCUUGUUGAAGGCUUUUACAACCCACUGUAUGUUGCAGGGUUGGGGCAAUUCCAUUUCAAUUCAAUCAACUCCGGAAGUAAACAAAUGCCAAUUCCACAUUUUUCUCAGUAAGAAGCAUUUGGGGAAUUGGAAUUUGAGUUUACUGAAUUGUAAUGGAAUUGAACCCUUAUCUUGAUGCUAAGGUCACAUUUGAAUGAACACAUAAUAGUAAUACCAGUAUAGUGUAGUCUCCAGUGGAAUGUACUUGAAGUUUGGCACACUCCUAUAGUUUAGCCCUUGAAGUUGUAGAGGUGAUGGUUGAUGUGUAUGGUGAAGAAAUAGAAAAACUAAGAAAUUAAACACAAUGGAAAUACUGUAUUUGUUGGACCCUGUGCUAAGACAACACUUGUCUUAAAUUCCUUUUAGAAGUUAGUGAUACUACAGAGGUUUUGUAUCAUUUCAGGAAGUAGUUUUGAAAGUAGUGCUCACUAUCGAAAACUGGUCCCCCAAAAUCUUCGCAAUGACAUUUUCACAAUGAUAUGUUACAUCCUGCAAUUUGUUUUCCUCUCCUGACGUUUAUAUGAUAAGUUACGAAUUCCAAUUCGUACAGUAUGUUUGUACAAAUUUGUAAGUGCUUAAGAUCCCGUUCAAUCUAACUUUGUGAACACAAAAACAGUACACAACACAGUUUAAUAUCACAGCAAGGAGGCCCUUCCAUAGCAGAGGAAAACCACCUUAAUUUUAGCACAGAUUGUAUGCCGUCACAUCCAAACUGGGUCUCGUUAAACUGGAUUUAUUUUGUGGAGGUCUGGUUUCCUGUUUUUGAUAGAAAACCACAUCUAAUUUCAGCCAGUUGAAAGGAAAAUAGACUGUCACAGCUUCUUAGAAAAGAGGCCAUUGUCCACAAUGCCAACCAACAAAACAAAGGCAAGCUCAUCAGUUGGUGGUCAAGUACAGGGAGAAACAUCUUCAAACCGAGAACGAUGCACUGUGUCAGACUCACUGGUACAAAAAUACAAUUUUACAACAAUGAAGCAUAUUUUUGUCUUUCACAGAACAAGCACUUGUCAACCCUACAAUCUCGUUAGGCCUAGCGUUCCCUGCAGGGUUUUUGUCAAUUCAACAUUUCUGAAUUUAAUUUGAAUAGGCCACACCCCAAAAGAAGCAGGAUUUUAAUUUCAUUUUAAUUGGAGGAAGUGGAAUAUAAUUCAAAGCAAUUCAAAAUAAAUAAAAUUGUCAUGUAAUUUAAUUAAACUUUCUUUAAUGCAAAUUCAAUUCAAUUGCUGCUUCCUAUCAGGUGUGGCCAAUUCAAAUUAAAGAAUUGAAUUGGAAUUACAGAGCAACCCCAACCCUGGAAAUUUGUUUCAUUCAACAAAGAGGGAUCUCCUCAGCAUUGCAUUGACUGAUUUGGCUUGGUGUAGUGAAGUGGUGUAUUUAGGAGUUCUUACUAAGUGAGGGGGAUGGAGCCACAUGGCUCUUAGCUGCUAUGCUAGGACAUGGGCAGACCGUACACCGUGGAAGUGGUUGAUCCUACAGUUUGACAAUAUUGAGUAUUAAAAGCUGCCUGGUUUGUUCCAGGACGCAGGAAUUUGCCAAGUGGGCAAACUAUCACAGCUAUGUCCAUGUCAGCUGUGUGUGUGUUAGUCCAUGUGAGGGUUGUAUUAUGGGCCUUCUAGGGAUGCCAAGGGAAGAGGGUGACAUUCAGAUGUGUAAUAUACAGUUGAAGUUGGAAGUUUACAUACACGUACAUUGGAGUCAUUAAAACUUGUUUUUCAACCACUCCACAAU